CCCUUAGAUGUUCUGGGCCGCACGCGCGCUACACUGACGAAUGCAACGAGCUUAUAACCUUGGCCGAAAGGUCUGGGUAAUCUCCAAAUUUCGUCGUGAUGGGGAUAGAUUAUUGCAAUUAUUAAUCUUCAACGAGGAAUGCCUAGUAAGCGCAAGUCAUCAGCUUGCGUUGAUUACGUCCCUGCCCUUUGUACACACCGCCCGUCGCUCCUACCGAUUGAAUGGUCCGGUGAAGCGUUCGGACCGUGGCCUUUGGACGGUUCGCCGUCUGUUGCCUGCGGGAAGUUCGUUAAACCUUAUCAUUUAGAGGAAGGAGAAGUCGUAACA
rnacentral:rRNA from 1 species